CAUCAAAAACAGCCAAUCAGAGCCAGGAGGAGGGGCUUAACGCUGCCAAUCAAUCUCAUGUACUUGCGAGAAACACCUGUUACAGAAAAACAAUUUAUCCACCAUCAUCGGUAGCUAUGGCAACUAUCUUGAGCAUUCACAACAUGCUAUGCUAGCUGCAAAGUAUUAGAUUGUGAUUGGCAGCGCUAAGACCCGCCUCCUGACUCUCAUUGGUUGAUUCUAGCUAGUUGAUUCUUUUCUAGUGAGAAAUAAAAAAGAACAGCCAACAUUUAUUCAAAUUCUGGGUGUGAAUGACAGAACAUCAUGACUCAGCAUUUAGGAGUUAUUUAAACAGGACAACCACAAAUCCAAAAUGGCUGCAGCGUGUAUAAAAAGUUACACAAAUAAAUGCUUUACCAAAUAUCCAAUUCAUCCUAAAGAUCCAAAAUGGCUGAUAUGUGUGAUCAGCUGCACCUGGUUACCAAACUACAUUGUUGCUUCACUCCUGCAAGAGUCAUCAUGUCACUUCCUGUUUCCUCACUUCCUCUAUGAGACUCAGAUCUGUAUGAGGAGCUUUUAUAUUGUCAGAAGGAAUCUCUCUGAUUGCCAUUCACACUCCAGUCCGGUAGGUGGCGGUAAGUCGGUUUGUCAACCAACAGUAAAAACCUAGAAGAAGAAAAAGUUGCUUUUGGACUUUCAAAAAUACCUUCCUGCACACAAUAAGCGAUGCGAUCGCAGCCGUGGCUGUAGGAUGAAGACCGGAGCAGAACCUGUCUGACCAUAUGAAGUAGGAAAAGCAGCACAUCCUCUGUUUUCCCUGAGUGAGUAAAGAAGCUCGAUUUGCUCGGCGUCUUGGAAUCCCGGCCUGCAGGGAAACAAAGAUGGCGGUAAAACCUGAAGCUGAACCGUCUGUCGGACGGGUCUCCGGCCCUCACCGUCCGGGCGUCUCCAGGAUC